AGCCCUGUGCCAGUAUUUCCAAUGUUUCAUAAUAAAUUUCAGAGUGUUUCAAAAAGACCUUGAGAGGGUCCUUGUAUUGCUUCUUCUGAUCUCUGUGGGAGUUAACUUAUGUGAAUUCUCCAUAAAAUAGUUUUUUAGGUAAAUAUAAAUUUGGCAUUUGAGCAACAUGGUAAGCCUAUUGGAGCAGAGUUUUAACAUUUGGUAAUUCAGCUUGAGAAAGGACCUCAGUGUCUGAUACUUUAUUUUACCAAGUGAUCUUCAGAUUCUUCCUAAGAUAUAUCAAAUUUAAGCAAUUCAGUUUCUUGGACUGGCACUGGAAUACUAUUCACAGAUAUUCAACAAUGAAGUCAGCACAAUAGCUUUAUGGACCCACAAUCUGCAAACUCAGCCUCUGAUCAUCUGCCUCCUAGGGCUCAGGAAAAGGGAAGACUUUGUGCCUGAGUUUUUCCUCUGGAAGAAAGGUUCCAGAGACUGUGAGAUUCCCAAAGAGAAGAUAUGAAGUUUAAAAUUCCAUCCUCUAAGGUCAACCUUAUUCAAAUGGAGGAAACAAGUAAGAUGACAGUGAAACAGAAUGACACUAUAUAUUAAGAAAAUAUACACAUGUGUAGAUAGCCUGGAGUAGCUGACAGAAUCAAGAACACUUGGAUUCAUCAAACUUCUUUACAGGAAGUGGCCUGACCAAACGGACAUCAUAUUUGUCAGGAUAUUACAGAAAAAAAAAAGAUACAAAAACUUUCUGGGUAUCCUGCUAAGACCCAAGCCUACUACCCUACUAUGCAAAUCUUCCAUAUCCAAUUUGGGAAUGGCAUUUCCCAUGGAAUCUCUGGCCAGUUCAUUGGGCAGAACAGAAAACUAUUCUCUGAACUCUAUCAGCGACCAGUGCUGUCUGUAUCCAGUGAACUUCAGGCAUAUAAAAACUGUAAGAAUUGGCAGACUACUAGAAGAAACUCCAUUUCAGGAAGACCACCUGGAUGAAGGAAUAUGUGCCGGACAUCCUGCUCUCAUAACAGAGAAACAAGGUCAGAAAAGGGGAAGAGGUGAUCAGAGCCUUCCAGAAAAAAGGUCUAAAGUUUCUUUCAGGAUCAAGUCCUUUAAAUUUUUUUUUUUUUUUUAAUGUUUAAGAGCAUGGAGUUGAUCUAAAGAAAGUACCCUUUUGUUAGGGCAGUUUAUGUAAUGAUGGAAAUUAUUUUUCCAUUAUUAUAUUUGUCUAUUUUCUUAAAUAUAGUAAUAACAUAUUUUGUACAUA